CCCCUUUUGAUGCAUCACAUUGCAGUGACAUUACGUGUGUUAGUAGUGAAAAUCAUUGAAGUAUAUCACUGCACGCUUCCUUAAUCACUGUAACACGGUCUAGUUGUUUCUAUGAAUUGAUUGUUUCAUUUCCACCUAGACUUUGUGGGCGAUGACCACCACAACAGUACAGCAAGAGCAUAAACACAAUAGCAAGGGGGGAAUAUAGGGUUGUAGCCGCCACAAUAUUGGAGUUUCAUGAACACAGACAGUACCAUUACUAAUAUGUAACACGUUUUCGAUACAACCUCAGGUAUCAUGCAUGGAGAAACAAACAAUAGCAAAACAAAUAACAAAGAUCUUAAACAAUGCACACAUGAACGAAAUGAAAAUACAGUCGCCACUAGCUACUAGCAGCUAUAGCGUUAACAUAUCAUCACCAGCACUGACACACUGGCUAGCGUGAGCAAAUGAUCCCUUAAGGCGCGGCGGCAUUCACAAUCAAACUAAGCAGGUUGCCAAAGCCGCCCUGGCCAUGGUUGUCGUUGUAGCUGUUGCCGGCGGCCGAAAGUGGGAGUGGGAAGGCGAACCAGUUGCCGAACUUGUUGGAAAAUCCGCCCAUAGACACCUUGUCUGUCAUUACGGCGACUAACUUGGUCUGGUGGCCACGAUCGGUCUGCAAGGCGACGAGGACGUAGCGGCCUUCGGCUGGUGGUAGGCUGCGCUGAGCCAGCCAAGAAAGGCUGCUGGCGGCGAGGGCAACGGUGAGGAAGAGGAGCACAAUGGAACAGCGUGGUCCGCCCUCCAUGGUGAAAAACCUAUCUAUCUAUCUAUCAAUAAUAAUGAAUGAUUCAGCCACUGCACUGAGAGUGAGAUGGAGUUGAAGGUCAGUAGUCCCCUAUUAUAUGAGGCUAUGAGCUAGCAGUAUAUGUGUAACUGUGGCGAACUACGCAAGGACACACAAAUAUUGCAUUGGGGAACAGUACUGAGUAGCAGUUGUACCAUGCUGUCCAUCCACUGCAGGUACCACAUGGUUGUUUGACACAAUUUGA
rnacentral:lncRNA from 1 species